GGCAGUGUGGUAUAGUGUUUUGGAUGUUGGUCUAAGACUCUGGAUGUCUAGGGUUCAAAUCCCCACAUGGCCA